rnacentral:ncRNA from 1 species
ACUCUCGGGGAGCCUUAAAAAUAAGGCUGAGAUGCUAGUUAAAUAAACUAGCGAACCCGUUGAACCUGAACCGUCUAGUACCGGCGUAGGAAAGAGCAAUGUU